CAAUAUGUUUAUAUAUUAGAAAAAAUUAAAUUUCAAAAUUUUUGUUUCUAUUCAAACCUAAAUUUUUUUUGGCUUUAGCGAUAUUAAAUAUGGCAACUGUUCUGCACAACAAAUAUAGAAAUGUUUUCAAUCUAUUGAAAACCCAUAGUGUGUGGUCCUUAAAAUACCUAAAGCAUUAUACUGAGAAACUUCACGAGAGGGGCAAGGCCAUGGAAAACGUUUACUUCCUGAAAAUACAAUAUGAACAGCUGCGUACGUUAAGACGGGCAAAGCUAGCUAAACGAAGGCAACUUGAUAGGAAUAUCGUGGAGCUAAAUGAUAGGCUAGAGGAAAUUGAGAACGCGCUAAGAGAACGUCGAGUAAAACUUGCUUAGUCAUGUUAUUUUACUAUAGGAUCUAGAGGAAUGCCUGACAAUAUCCACACCAAAAACCUUGACAGAGGCGGACCAAAUGUGAAUUUUUCCACCGAGAAAUGUUCGCAACUACGAUCCCUUAUAUUUUUAGAUAGAGUCAAACCACAAAGACUCGCUCAUGAAUCUGUUGCAAAUAUAAAAGCAACAGAUUCAUGAACGAGUUUGUCCAUGUUGGGUUCUAUUUCGAAACGCCAUUUAAACCUGAGUAGGUGCUUUUGGAAAAUAUAACAAAAAAAAUUCUUCAAUCAAAAUCUGUAUUUCGAAAUAUCGUUCAUGGGAAACUACAGUUUAAGGGCCGCUGUAAAAAUGUUUUGGUACAUAAAUAGCUUCUCUAUAAAAACCAUAAUCCCAGCUAUGGUAGGUCCAUUUAGAACCAGGCAUUACGGCAAUAAAAUUCGUGAAAGGGGCAGAGCAAGUGAAAACGUUCAUUUUCGGAAAAUACAAUACGAACAGUUUCAACGUAUUAUCGAAAAUCAAAGGCAAAUCAGGAAUGAAAUAAAGAAAUUGGGUAAGGAGCUGGAGGAUCUGAAGCGAAAUAUGGAGAAAGGCGACGAAAAUUCAACCCACAAGGAUUGAUAAGCAUACGUACCUUACAAAAUGCUGUCGGUUUAUAAGGUGCUCAAGAAGUCCAUAUUUGAUGAUUUACCACACGGAUUUUUGAAUAUCAUGUCUCGAUCUUAUACUAAGGAGAUCUACGAAAGAGCCAGGGCCGUAGAGAAUGUGCACUUUUUGAAAAUUCAAAGGGAGCAGCUGCAAAGGCUGCGCAACAAAAUGAUCAAGGAGCUGAAAAAAACGGAAUAUGAAGGGGAUGUGGACGCCAAUCUGGAGGUGAAAGAAUCACGAGCUGCGAGAACACAGCAAGCAGAUAAUUGAAAUUGUGUUCCUAAAAAAAAUGUAUACGGCAAAAUUAUGGCCAGAACAGCAUUUACAAAACAGUAGGCAAACGUAAAUCUGUUCCAAAUACAGGCUAUUUUGAACAAAACAAAAAUCAAAAUUCCAAAUUCAAUAUUCUACAAUGUGGAGCUGCUUCAGGCCCAGAUGUGUGAUGGAAUGUGUCAUUAGAUGGAGUCUCUCGUUCCCUCAACAGCUGCGCUUGUUAUCAGACAACGAAAAAGCUAAAAUUCUCGAGGCGAAGAACAUGGCCAUGUGGAGGAAACAGAUUAGCGAGUUGGUUCGGCUACAGGAACGUUAUGUGGAGUCCAGACUGCGAAGCAAUAAAAGGUUGCUAAAUUAUGCAAAAAGAAUUUGGAGCAUGCGCAGAAAAGAGUCGUCUUGAGAUAUAUAGAUAGAUGAAUAAUUGCCUUAGAAAUUUUGAUCUUAAAGUGCUGGUCCUAUGAUUAUAAUAUCUCUUCAUUUUAUUUAAAAUAGUUUGUAUUUCUCAUUUACAAAUGCUUUACAAGAAGCGUUACAUAACAGGCGCCAAUAAAAUGAAAAUGAAAUUC
rnacentral:misc_RNA from 1 species